rnacentral:rRNA from 1 species
UAGGGAAUCUUCCACAAUGGACGAAAGUCUGAUGGAGCAACGCCGCGUGAGUGAAGAAGGGUUUCGGCUCGUAAAACUCUGUUGUUAAAGAAGAACAUAUCUGAGAGUAACUGUUCAGGUAUUGACGGUAUUUAACCAGAAAGCCACGGCUAACUACGUGCCAGCAGCCGCGGUAAUACGUAGGUGGCAAGCGUUGUCCGGAUUUAUUGGGCGUAAAGCGAGCGCAGGCGGUUUUUUAAGUCUGAUGUGAAAGCCUUCGGCUCAACCGAAGAAGUGCAUCGGAAACUGGGAAACUUGAGUGCAGAAGAGGACAGUGGAACUCCAUGUGUAGCGGUGAAAUGCGUAGAUAUAUGGAAGCACACCAGUGGCGAAGGCGGCUGUCUGGUCUGUAACUGACGCUGAGGCUCGAAAGUAUGGGUAGCAAACAGG